rnacentral:rRNA from 1 species
GGGCUCACACAAGCGGUGGAGGAUGUGGCUUAAUUCGAGGCUACGCGAAGAACCUUAUCCAGGCCUUGACAUGUACGGAUGCUGCCCGUGAAAGCGGGUUAGUUGCCUUCGGGUGAAACGUGCACAGGUGCUGCAUGGCUGUCGUCAGCUCGUGUCGUGAGAUGUCGGGUUAAGUCCCUUAACGAGCGAAACCCUUGUCUCUAGUUGCCAGCGAGUAAUGUCGGGGACUCUAGAGAGACUGCCGGUGUUAAACCGGAGGAAGGUGGGGAUGACGUCAAGUCCUCAUGGCCUUUAUGGUCUGGGCUGCACACGUCCUACAAUGGCAUAUACAAAGGGAUGCUACCUCGCGAGAGCAAGCAAAUCCCAAAAAGUAUGCCCCAGUUCGGAUUGCAGGCUGCAACUCGCCUGCAUGAAGCCGGAAUCGCUAGUAAUCGUGGAUCAGCAUGCCACGGUGAAUAUGUUCCUGAGCCUU